rnacentral:sRNA from 1 species
AACACAGUCCACAGCAGAGAUGGACUCCU